AUGCCACCUCCAUCCCCGACCAUGCCACCCCAGUGCCAUCCCCUCCCAGACCACUCCCCCGAGCUUCCUCCGCCGCCCCGACCACUCCCCCGAGCUCCCUCUGCCGCCCCGACCACCAUUUGCCACCAGCCCUGCCGCUCGCUGGAGAUCCUCCAUCGAGCAGCGCCUUCGCUUCCAGGAGAUCCUGCUCGAGAAGCGUCGCCGCUUCCAGGAGCUGCUACCCUGAGAAGCGUCGCUGUUUCCAGAAGCUCCUUCCCGCCACGUCUUUCUCCCCUCCCCGAAGAGCGCCGACUACAUCCUCUCCCCCGAGCAGAUGCCGCUUCUGCGUUCUUUCACACGAGCAGUGCCGCGUCUACUACAUCGGGGUCUCCUCUACUUCCUCACUCCAACCCGUGA
rnacentral:rRNA from 1 species